UGCAAGUCGAGCGGACAGAAGGGAGCUUGCUCCCGGAUGUUAGCGGCGGACGGGUGAGUAACACGUGGGUAACCUGCCUGUAAGACUGGGAUAACUCCGGGAAACCGGAGCUAAUACCGGAUAGUUCCUUGAACCGCAUGGUUCAAGGAUGAAAGACGGUUUCGGCUGUCACUUACAGAUGGACCCGCGGCGCAUUAGCUAGUUGGUGAGGUAACGGCUCACCAAGGCGACGAUGCGUAGCCGACCUGAGAGGGUGAUCGGCCACACUGGGACUGAGACACGGCCCAGACUCCUACGGGAGGCAGCAGUAGGGAAUCUUCCGCAAUGGACGAAAGUCUGACGGAGCAACGCCGCGUGAGUGAUGAAGGUUUUCGGAUCGUAAAGCUCUGUUGUUAGGGAAGAACAAGUGCAAGAGUAACUGCUUGCACCUUGACGGUACCUAACCAGAAAGCCACGGCUAACUACGUGCCAGCAGCCGCGGUAAUACGUAGGUGGCAAGCGUUGUCCGGAAUUAUUGGGCGUAAAGGGCUCGCAGGCGGUUUCUUAAGUCUGAUGUGAAAGCCCCCGGCUCAACCGGGGAGGGUCAUUGGAAACUGGGAAACUUGAGUGCAGAAGAGGAGAGUGGAAUUCCACGUGUAGCGGUGAAAUGCGUAGAGAUGUGGAGGAACACCAGUGGCGAAGGCGACUCUCUGGUCUGUAACUGACGCUGAGGAGCGAAAGCGUGGGGAGCGAACAGGAUUAGAUACCCUGGUAGUCCACGCCGUAAACGAUGAGUGCUAAGUGUUAAGGGGGUUUCCGCCCCUUAGUGCUGCAGCUAACGCAUUAAGCACUCCGCCUGGGGAGUACGGUCGCAAGACUGAAACUCAAAGGAAUUGACGGGGGCCCGCACAAGCGGUGGAGCAUGUGGUUUAAUUCGAAGCAACGCGAAGAACCUUACCAGGUCUUGACAUCCUCUGACAACCCUAGAGAUAGGGCUUUCCCUUCGGGGACAGAGUGACAGGUGGUGCAUGGUUGUCGUCAGCUCGUGUCGUGAGAUGUUGGGGUUAAGUCCCGCAACGAGCGCAACCCUUGAUCUUAGUUGCCAGCAUUUAGUUGGGCACUCUAAGGUGACUGCCGGUGACAACCGGAGGAAGGGGGGGAUGACGUCAAAUCAUCAUGCCCCUUAUGACCUGGGCUACACACGUGCUACAAUGGACAGAACAAAGGGUUGCAGACCGCAGGUUAGCCAUCCCACAAAUCUGUUCUCAGUUCGGA
rnacentral:rRNA from 2 species